rnacentral:lncRNA from 1 species
UGUUAUUUUAUCAGUAAAUGUAAAGAUAUUUGAGGCAUUUAGCCAGACCUCAGAACUUUUAAAAACUUUGUUUUAUAGUGUAAUUAUAAACUUAAGACCAGUAUCCUCAUACUUUGAUUUUUAAUAACAUCAAUGAUAUAAAAAUGGGCGUAUUUUUGUUGGAAGAGGAAAAAUUUACAAAGAAAGCACAUAAAGAGAGGGAUAAUUAUUUAAUCAUUCAUUUCCAAUUUUUCAUCUAUGACGUGUUAUGUAUAUUAUAUACUCUAUGUAAAAAAUUACUUACAGAGCAUUUAGCAUGUGAAUAUAUUCCAUAGGCAUAGGUUAAAACACUAAAGUCUGCCAGAAACUUUUGAUAGUAACAAGAAAAUUGUUUUCUUUGAAGGUAUUGUAGUUUUGGAACCUUAAGUUAUAAAUUCAAAGGGCUGACUUUAGUUCUUUCAUGGUAAUGGCUUGAAUAACAUCAUCUUUGGGAUUCUUUUAUAUUGGCCCAGUCUAGGGGAACCUGGAUGACGAACAGAGCAAUUUCAUAGUUUCCCUAGGGAGAGCUUCGUUAUCCACAUGGGUAAGAGGUCUGCUUGAUUUAUUAUUAAAUCAUUACAGCAUGAGGUGGUGGCGUUUUCUCUCAAGCCCCAUUUGAAAGGGUACAGAAGACAAUAUAUAUAAUAUAUUUAGGUCUUGGAAGGUUAUCACUGUACAUAACUGCAAUAAGAAACCCACCCCACUAGAUAGGUUACAAGACAAAUGUCACCAGCCUUAGUAUUUUAUGAACUAUUUAUUGAAGGCACAGUUAUGAUAAAUAGGUUAUAAUAUGGCCAGUAACAUUUCCUGAAUUCUUUCAAGGAGAAAGCGGGCAUCCAUGAAAGGUAUAAUUAAAAGGGACUUCUCUAUGAACAUUUAAGACACUAAAGUGUAUUUGUGGACUUUGAAGGAUUUAGAAACCAAUUGCCUUAGAAGAUAGAUGUUUGGGGGUGGGGGUGAAUCUUUUCCCAAGGCCAAAGGAAGUUGCCGUAGUCUGUAUAUUAUCUUGAUGUUUUGGAUCUACUAGCAAGUGUAAUCACAUACUAUGAAAAAGAAGAAUUUUCUGCUGUUAAAAACUGCCUUUUUAUACAAAGACUGUAAAUAUUUGUAAAAAAACAAACAAAAAACCACUCAAAGCUCAGAAGGACAGAACUGUGUACCAACUGUCAGUGGAGCAGUGUCACCUGAUCAGUGAUUGUAAACAAUCAGACAGAAGUCAAUAAAGUUUAUUUAUG